rnacentral:rRNA from 1 species
GACGAACGCUGGCGGCGUGCUUAACACAUGCAAGUCGAACGAAGUGGCGAACGGGUGAGUAAUACGUGGGUAACCUGCCCUUCAGAGGGGGCCAACAGUUGGAAACGACUGCUAAUACCGCAUACUGACGGAGGGGAUUGCGUCUGAUUAGCUAGUUGGAGGGGUAACGGCACACCAAGGCGAUGAGCAGUAGCCGGCCUGAGAGGGGGACCGGCCACAUUGGGACUGAGAUACGGCCCAGACUCCUACGGGAGGCAGCAGUGGGGGAUAUUGCACAAUGGGCGAAAGCCUGAUGCAGCGACGCCGCGUGGGGGAUGAAGGCUUUCGGGUUGUAAACCUCUGUCGCUAUCGAACGGGUAGGUGGAGAAGAAGCGCCGGCUAACGACGUGCCAGCAGCCGCGGUAAUUC